UUCCUCUGUUUGCACACACACUGCCUGCGUGUGUGUGUGUGUGUGUGUGUGCACGCUUGCUGGAGGUGAAAUUAAAAGGUCGUAUAAUCGCAUUUUCCCGAGGUGAAUGUCAGCAGGAGAAAACAACAUGUCCUUUUUGUGGGCAGCAUUUUUGUUUUUCUCUGUUUGGUUUCACAGUUGUUUAUUCCUCUUACAUCCUUUCACUGUGAAAACAAAUACUGUAUCUUAUUGGUUUCUAGUAAAUAUACUUAAAACAAUAUUAAACUACCCGAGUAGCAAGAUGUUAGGACAUGUUUUCAGAUGAAUCUGAAUAAAUCUUGAACACAUGAGUUGUUGCUAUGUUUAUAAUGUGUUGCUUUGUCCUUUUGUGAGGUUUUCUGAUUCAUUUUACAAUGCUAUGAGGUUGUUAGUUUGAUGCGGGGUGAUUGCUAGGGUGUUGCUAUGUGGUUGACAGAGUGUUCUGAAUGCUUUUAGUAUGUUGCUAUGUGGGUGCUAUGUGCUAGGGCAUUGCUCUGUGUUUGAAAAGGUGUUUUGAAUAGUUUUAGUGUGUUGCUUUGUCCUUUACAAGGUUUUCUGAUUUGUUUUUACCAUGCUAUGAAGUUGCCAGAGUGUUUAGGGGUGGUUGCUGUUGCUAUGUGUUAAUUGUGUAGGGUGGUAGCUAUGUGGUUGCUAAGGUGUUUGGAAUGUUUUAGUGUGUUCUUAGGGUGUUGCUAUGCAUUUAGUGUUUAGGGUGGUUACUAAGGUGUUUGGAAUGUUUUAGUGUGUUGUUAGGGUGUUGCUAUGCAUUUACUGUUUAGGGUGUUUGUUAUGUGGUUACUAAGGUGUUUGGAAUGUUUUGGUGUUUUGUUAGGGUGUUGCUAUACAUUUAGUGUUUAGGGUGGUUACUAAGGUGUCUGGAAUGUUUUAAUGUGUUGUUAGGGUGUUUCUAUGCUUUUAGUGUUUAGGGUGUUUGCUAUGUGGUUGCUAAGGUGAUUGGAAUGUUUUUAGUGUGUUACUAGGGUGUUGCUAUGUCCUUAGUGAUGUUUUAUGAUCUUUUGUUUUUUGCAGUUCCAUUUAGUUGCUUGGGAUGGUUGCUAGGGUAUUGCUAAGUGGUUGCUAGGGUGUUCUGGCAGAUUGCUAGGUACUUGUUUUCUCAAACACUGCAGAAUGAAUUGUGAUUUUGAUUCUUGUAAUAAUAAACUUUCUUUCCCUCUUCACAAGAGCAGAUAUUUUUCUCAACGGUUUGCGUUUGCAUAGUUGUGUUAGGAUGAGAGCGC
ensembl:lncRNA